GGUUAGAAAUGAUAUGAAGAACUUGUUCAGUAUUUGAUUUUCAACAUUGCAAUGAGUGGCGAACGGGUGAGUAACACGUAGGGAAACCUACCUCUUAGCAGGGGAUAACAUUUGGAAACAAUGCUAAUACCGUAUAAUAAUUAAAACCGCAUGGUUUUAGUUUAAAAGAUGGUCUUGCUAUCACUAAGAGAUGGUCCCCGCGGUGUAUUAGUUAGUUGGUGAGGUAAUGGCUCACCAAGACAAUGAUACAUAGCCGAGUUGAGAGACUGACCGGCCACAAUGGGACUGAGACACGGCCCAUACUCCUACGGGAGGCAGCAGUAGGGAAUCUUCCACAAUGGACGAAAGUCUGAUGGAGCAACGCCGCGUGUGUGAUGAAGGGUUUCGGCUCGUAAAACACUGUUGUAAGAGAAGAAUGACAUUGAGAGUAACUGUUCAAUGUGUGACGGUAUCUUACCAGAAAGGAACGGCUAAAUACGUG
rnacentral:rRNA from 1 species